rnacentral:rRNA from 1 species
CCUACGGGUGGCAGCAGUGGGGAAUAUUGGACAAUGGGCGAAAGCCUGAUCCAGCCAUGCCGCGUGUGUGAAGAAGGCCUUCGGGUUGUAAAGCACUUUCAGUGGGGAAGAAAGCCUUGGGGCUAAUACCCUCGAGGAAGGACAUCACCCACAGAAGAAGCACCGGCUAACUCCGUGCCAGCAGCCGCGGGAAUACGGAGGGUGCGAGCGUUAAUCGGAAUUACUGGGCGUAAAGCGCGCGUAGGCGGUCUGAUAAGCCGGUUGUGAAAGCCCCGGGCUCAACCUGGGAACGGCAUCCGGAACUGUCAGGCUAGAGUGCAGGAGAGGAAGGUAGAAUUCCCGGUGUAGCGGUGAAAUGCGUAGAGAUCGGGAGGAAUACCAGUGGCGAAGGCGGCCUUCUGGACUGACACUGACGCUGAGGUGCGAAAGCGUGGGUAGCAAACAGGAUUAGAUACCCCAGUAGUC